CCUACGGGUGGCUGCAGUGGGGAAUAUUGCACAAUGGGGGAAACCCUGAUGCAGCAACGCCGCGUGGGUGAAGGAGAGUUUAGGCGCGUAAAGCCCUGUCAGCGGGGAAGAAGAAAGACGGUACGCGACCAAGAAGCCCCGGCUAACUACGGGCGAGCAGCCGCGGUAAUACGUAGGGGGCGAGCGUUAUCCGGAAUUACUGGGUUAAAAGGGUUCGUAGGCGGUCCGUUAAGUCAGCGGUAAAAUUGCGGGGCUAAACCUCGUCGAGCCGUUGAAACUGGCAGACUUGAGUUGGCGAGAAGUACGCGGAAUGCGCGGUGUAGCGGUGAAAUGCAUAGAUAUCGCGCAGAACCCCGAUUGCGAAGGCAGCGUACCGGCGCCAGACUGACGUUGAUGCACGAAAGCGUGGGUAUCGAACAGGAUUAGAUACCCUAGUAGUC
rnacentral:rRNA from 1 species